rnacentral:lncRNA from 1 species
GGGAAUAGGAUUCUUCCUUUGGAUGGGGAUGAGCCAGAAGCUCCAAAUGAGUUAUGUUCAGAAUUUGAGUUGUUUGCUGUCGUAACUCACACAGGCAAGCUGGAUGCUGGCCACUACGUGACCUACUUGCGAUUAAGUAAUAACUGGUACAAGUGUGAUGAUGCUUGGAUCACACAAGUUAACGAGGACAUUGUGAGGGCUGCACAAGGCUACAUGAUGUUUUAUGUACAGAAAAUGCUAUUUUACAAAGCGAGUGAAAAACAGGGGUCUGCAUAAUAUGCUGAGCAGGAAAGAGUGUGUUAAUUAGAAAACGAACAGCUUCCUGCCUGUUUUGCUUAGCUUAAACAGUUUGUCAUCGAGUUGCUAUUCUCGGCAGCUAGUUGCGCCCUGAGGACACCUUUGAGGCUUUAGAGUGGUGAGUAAUUUAUGAUUCUCAGAUGGAGCAAAGUGAGCCUGAAUUUUUGGGGCAGUCUUGCAUUUGGGAAAUAAUCAAGUUCAAAAUUGUAUUGGUUUCUUGAAAUUGAUAUGAUGUGAAUUUUUUUACCUGCCUAUUCAAGUAUUUAUAAUAGAUCAUUUUUCCUCUAAUGUGUUGUGUGUAUCCAAUAGCAACUAAAAAGCUUCAUUCACGAGGUAUAUAUUGCAUCAGUGUCUUAUUUCAAGCAUAUUCAAAAACAAUAGGCCCCCAGAAGGAGUAGAUCAGCCCAAUAGGCCCAGGGCACUUCAGUGGCCCAGAUCCACCUAGCAGCCUAUAACAGCCACCAUACCCUCGAGCCCAAAGGGACUCACCUAUUGCUUAAUUGCGCAGCAGGAAUGUAAGCACUGCCACCUGAGUAUUUUAAAUUCUUUCAAAUUUUACGUUGACAAUGAUAUUCCUAUCUUAUUACAUGGAUUUAUAUAUAUAUAUUUUUUUCUUUUCUUUCAUUAUGGUCAGGAUUCAAUGUGUUUGUUUAACUAGCUAGAGCUAAUCCUGUUUCAAAAUAGGAAGGUGUUUUGCAAAUCAGAUGUGCUUUGGUUAUGUAGCUGACAUAAUUGUGCAUUGUGCCAUAGUCAUGUUUCAUUUUGUUUUGCAUCUCUGGAUACUGUAUCUUGGUCUUGUUUUGAAACCAGUUUUAUUUUGUUGUGAUAGCUACCAAAGUCUUGAGCCUAUUUUUGUUGCACUCAUACAAAUCUUAUAUCGAUCUUUCUCUGGUCAAGGACUAAAAUGAUGUAUAAACUGAAUGAAGUAUACCUCCAUGAAUUAAUAGUACAUUCACUUAAUUUGGUUUUUGUGUUGUGGAUUUUCAUUCAUGGAGCCUAGACAGUUCAAUUGUAUUGUACUUUGAGUAUAUCAUUGACCGUUUAAGGGCUGCAAAGUUAGAACCUUAUGCAGAAUAUCGUAAGGUGCAUAAUAUAUAUGUAGUUUACCUUAUUUUUGUUCCCUGCUUCCCAUAGCUAAGUUUAUGCUAUCACUUGUAUAUCUCAUCCAACAUGCAUCAUUAUAAAUUUAUAAGUCAAAGACAUUAUCCUUUUUAAAAAAAAUAAAAGAAUAGUACACGACAAUAUUAUUGAAAAGUACAAUUCAUGUAAAAAUAAACAUCAUAAGAAAAUUACAAACCGACUCCAAAAUGCUGAUCUAUAUUUGUGUUCAAAAUUUGCUCAACACUCCAGUGGGAAUGUUUGUAGCCUUCUGCUACAGCUCUAUAAAAGGCUUGAUAGAAAUGCUCGACCACAUGGGGAAAUUCUUUUUGUAUCUCGGCAAGGAUCUCUCCUGCUGUAGGGAAUUCUUCCAUAUAAUCCAUAUGUCCACGCUGAUAACCGUGUCUCCUGUUAUAAGUUUCCGCUCCAUCACCAUAGUGUGGCCAGUUGCCCACAAAAAGAACAAUGGUCGGGUAGUUUAGUCUCGGGCCAGACCUGUCCAAGUUUCUUUCUGGCCUAAAUUGAUACACUUCAUUUAAGACAGGACUCUUAUUUGUGCCCGAAACAAAGCAGUGGUUCCAACGGGUAUACUUGCACUUCAUGAGCUGGGAUUUGAAACCUGCGCUCUUAAACAAAUUCUGGUUGUUGGUCUUGCCCUUCUCUGAGCACAGUUUAUAUAAAUUUCCCAGGAAACGAAGUUGUUCUUUGACGCCCCAGCAGCUUGGAUAAUUGAAAAUGCAUCUAACAUGGUUGUGAGUUUGAUAGGGAGGAUGGAUAGCUGAUCUCGGUGAUAUAGUGAACUGUGGCUGAACUUUCACACAGCUAUCUGACAAAAAGCUCAUCCAGUUACCAACAUAUUCUUUAAUUGCCUUGGGAAAACUAUCACAUGCUUGCCUUUGUGCAUCAGAUGUUUUACAGGGUUUAUGAAAAAAGUUGCAUCAUACUUCUGUUGAGUCUCCCGAUGUCUAUCUGCAUCGUGAUGAGACUCGAAUACUUGUAUAGUUCCAAAGUCUACUACCCCCUCGAUUGUUUCAUAUUUAAUGUAUCGAAGAUGAGAGUCUGGAUGAACUUUACGAAGACAUGCUGGGAUUUCAGCAAAAUAGUACGGAUGUUUCAUCGAUACCGGUUCUUGUAGAAACACAUUGUUUUCUUUCAUAGUGGCAUCGAGUAUAGAUGAAGGAUUUGAAUCCAUUGCGGCUGUGAUAUGCUUGAGCGUGUUGGAAAGUCUCUUUCUGAAUGGUGUGCUGUUCUACUGGAUGUUUGGCUAUAAAUAAGAGAAGGACGUGCGCCUGCUACAACAUUCACUUAUGUAUUAGGGUAUUGUCUCUUAGUUUUGUGAUUCCAUUCAAUAAUAGGAAAUCUAUAAGAUUCCCACUAUACAGUAGGAGUUCUCGAGUCUGGACUUCAAAAUUUAAUCCAGAAAGUACUAGGAAAAUAUAUAACUUAAGGCAUUGUGUUUCCUAGUACGUAACGUAACUAUAUAUGGAAAUCCUUAGAGCCUUUUUUUUUUUUUGAAAUCCCUAGAGGCUCUUGGAGAUUCGUUACUUGAGAACCUAUCAAAUUAGGACAUCAAAAUAAUCAUGAAGGUCCUUUUAAGUACUGUAGAGAAAGACAGAAUAGUUUCUAGUGCUGCCCUUUGCCAGGUUGGAUCACUUGGAUGCCACUACAAACAUCUGGACUUCUGGUAACAACUGUUUGUCUGUAUACAAGUCAUCGAUUAAGAUACUUAGAUACGUACGUAGUGAAUUAUCAGGAUAUAUAUAGAGUUCCUAUACAGAAUAGUUUCUAUUUAUACUACUAAUGUGUGUGUGUGUGUGUCUAUUGUAUGAUAUGAAUUCAGCAAACAAGUCAUUUUCUGGUUUAUAGAUAGUUCGCCAUUGUUUCAUAUUGUGAAGGGGAUUAAUUGGAACAAGCCUUUAAUUUGAUCCGAAAAAAUGGAUCAUUCCUGGAGAUUUUUCUGAACCUUGUCUAUUGAAAGCAACAUAUUGCUGUGUGGUUGAGGAGCUAAUUGGUGCAUUCUUAGCACUGGUGGUGAAUUGGAUGCUGUUUACUUCAUGAACUGGGUUGGUAACUUGGUAUAAAGGUAUAUGGGAAGAACAUGCAUUUCACUGAUUUCAGUGCAGCCAUAAAAGCUUGUUAAUUUGAAACGGGAGACAGUUCUUUGGGACAGAUCAUAGCCGCUUUUUAGUUCUCUCUUAUUUGAGAAGAGCAUGAAGUAACAUUAUUCUCCAGCAAAUAAAGUUCAUCCUCGGAUCACUUCUUUAAACUCAGAACCUCUCAAGUAUUGGUCAAUUAGUCCAACCGUUCUACGUAGAUAAGCAAAAUCAUUUUACUAGAAACCAAAGUUUAUUUGGAUAGGAAAAAUAUGGAGAUGAUCACUUGAAAAAGAAACUUAAUUUGAGAGAAGUGACCAUUAAUUUGAGAUCUCGGCCCCAAUUAGUUUGAAGACUUCUGGUUGCGUUAUGCUAUGGCAGAGCUAGUAUAGCAUGAUAAACAAGAACCUCCUCAUUCUAUGCCAUCAAAACAGAGUCGAUCAAUGACCACGUACAUAUUGUUCAUGGUGCAGAAAACAUAAGGACAAGACUUCUGAGUAUUCAUUUUCUUUCAACUGAAGGGCCAAGGCCAGGCAAAGCAUAAAACACCAAAUCAACAAUACAGAAUAACUGUACGUAGAGUUAGGAGAUCCAUGAAAUUAAGAUAACCAAACCAAAAUGAAGAGGACAGUGAUGGACAAUAAUUUCAAUGCAAGAGUGAACAUAAAAGAAGCUUGUAAAUAACUGCGUGUGUAUAAAACAUAUGUUGUUAAGGUGCAUGUUUGGAUUUACAUUAGAUUCAUUUUUAGGUGAUAACAACAAGCUAUGGACAGCAGGGAGCAAAAAUAGGGUAAACUACAUUCUGCAUAAGUUUCUGAACUUUGCAGCACUUCAACCGGAGCAUACAAUUGAAGUGUCCAAGCUCCAAGAAUGAAAUCCACCUCACAAAACCAAAGCAAGUAAUGCAAAGGAUCUUCUGCAGAUAUAUACUUCCACACACCUAAAACCUAUCUCUAACUGAUCAAUCAACGAUUUCGAAUACUAGGACAUACUAAAUUUCACGGCUCGGUAGUAUCACAUAGUGUACAGUAUAGACGUUGAACCAAACCGAACUUCAUAUACUCGAAAAUAAAAACAGUUAUCAAAACUAAGAUAAGUAAUUCAAAAACUAAAACUAAGAUAAGUAAACUAAAAAAAAAAUACAACUACAUAUCUCACAGAAGUUUAUUAAUAAACCAGAUUCUUCAAAGUUCAAACUGAGAUCAGAGAAAGAUCAAUAUAAGAUUUGCAUGAUUACUACACAGAAAAAGGCUAAAGAAUAUGGUAGCUAUAACAACAAAACGUACAAAAGUGAUUUCUAAACAAGAUCGAUCCGGUUUCCAGAGAUACAAAACAAAAUUAAACAUGAUUACGGCACAACGAGUGGUAUAUCAUCUACGUAAAUCACCAAUGCACAUGUACAUCUGAUUCGCAAAAAUNUAUUGAAAAAAAAAAAAAAAAAAAAAAAGAAACUCUAGCAAGGUAAACAAAGGGUUUAGAACCAAUAACUAAAUCCAUGCGAUUAGAUAGGAAAAACUUCAGGAUCAUUGGCAAUCUAAAAUUAGGUACAUCUGGCUUGUAAAGAAAUUAAGAUAUUAACUAUGGUGGCAGCGCUUACAGUCCUGCUGCGCAAUUGAACAAUUCGUCAGUCCACUCAUCAAGAGCACAGCGACCAGUUGUCAGAGAACUUGCAUAGAAGGGAGGAAUUGGAUCAGAAGAACUGGGAGCAGGAUUGAGUAUGAACUUGGACCAAAUGAGCAAACACUGAGCCACACUAGGAUCGGGCUGUUCGUAUUGACACUCCCACAACAAAGCCAACUUGUGAUAGUUUUGCUUCCCGAUCUGAAGCAAGUACGGAGAGUAAAGUGGACCGCAGUUAUAAUCGUCUGGUAUUGCCUCGUAAUCAUGUGUCUCGAAACAAUAGGGAAGGACGGUUCCGUCAGUCCGCAGACCCUUAACUGGUUCAUCUAACCAUCUACGCUCUUGAAUGUCGAAUACAUACACUCCCGGAACCACCAGACGAACCGGCUUCCGCCUCGCGGUAACGGCAGGUGACAUGGGAGCCUGACUUCCAAAAGAAAAUAGGUAGCGGUCGUUGUAAAGCACCACGCCUGUGGACCAUUUACCCGAGAAGUAGGGGUAGCAAUCGUCCCACUGUUUUGUCCCCAAAUCAUAGGAAACCAUGACAUUGGAAUCAUCCGGGCCCAAAUUCAUAUAGAUGAAAAGCUUUUCCUUUGUAAGAGCAAGAAGAUGGGACUCGCAUAGCACGUCUGGAUUGCUUCCGCGGUUCAGCGGAGGCGGCAAAGGCAAUUUCUCAAGAAUCCCAGUGUCAGGAGACAGUCGGUAUUGGUUACAUCCCACCGAGUAAAUAGAACCGUCGUGGCCAACAGCUGCUACACCAUAUUGUUCAUACGACAAAUUCCCACCACCAAACUGCCAUUGACUACUUUUCCCUAAUUUUAAGUGCCUGUAUCCGAUAUUUUUCUCAUCUUCAUUCUUCUCUGUAUCGAUAUCUCCACCAAUCAGAUAUAUAUGAGAGUCUAAGACGGCAAGGCUGUUGUAGCGCAAAUUUGAAUCGGGAAUGGAGAUUCGCCUGAUCGUAUCAGAUUCAGAUUCACACUCCAGUAUGUCGUUGUUGCCGUCAAGGCUGCUGUUAUAGCGCAAUUCAGAAUAGGGAAUGGAGAUUAGUCUGGUUAAAUCAGAUUCAGAUUUACAUGCCCGUAUGACGUUGUUGCCGUCCUCCUCUUCAUUAUCAGAUGAGGAUGACGAUUGGGCUGAGGAUGAGGACAAGGACAAUGAUGAUGAUUCGGCCCCCCAAGGUUUCUCCUCAAUCACGUACCAGCAAUAUGAAUUGUUGUCCCUGCAGCACGAUACCCUUACGUAGAUCGGCCGGUCUCUGCAGCUUUCGUCGCUGAGGAUUGCGAUUGCCAUCAAGAAUUUGCUAGCUAGGUUUUGUUGUUCAGUUUCUCUAUAUGGUGUAAACUGCGAAAGAUGGAGAGGCUUAACAAUAUACUCUCUUUAUAUAGCUAGGGUUAAGCAGCUAUAAUUCCUAUUCUGUACAGGCUUGUUUAUGGAAUUAUUUUCUUUUAUUUUUAGAUUUAUACAAUAAUUAUGUUCCUAAAUUAAAGGAAUAUAUUACCUCGGUGGAGUAAGAUAUGGCAAAGGAUAUAUAUAUGUUUGGGAGUGAUUGGUUUCUGUCCCUAAAUUAAUAGGAAAAAAUAAUAAGGUCGAUGAAAAUUAAUUUUAUUAAAGGUAAUCCCAUAAAAUUGACAUUUAGGGUUGAUAAAAAUUAAUUUUAUUAGAUUACGCAAUAGGAAACACAUGCAAUACCUUGAUACAAAGGGAAUAGUCUAGAGAUUUUCCUAUCGUUAAAACAGAACCCCAGAACCAGGCAACGAUACCUUAAUUAAAUAGGAAUGUUGUAGGCAUUCCCUCCCCUAUUUAAAGCCAAUACACCGAGCAGAGAACACCAACACCUUUCUCGUCAUCGACCCACCCCCCACCUAAAAGCUAGACUACCAACACGGCCAAGGCAAUGCCUCGAAAAAAGAAUCCACCGACUCGAAAUCCUUCAGAUAAACUCGAACUCGAGUUGGCAAAGCGAGGUAACGUGUUUCCAAAUGACCCCGAACUGAUAGCACAACGGUAUUACUUCAAUCCCAAUCUUCCAGAAAAAUGUGUCGAAGCUGAAAGUGAAAGUCAUCUGCGAUAUAUUAAAUAUCAUCCUUUCGAAGGGAGGGAUAGCACCGGAACCAAACAAGGAUUCGAAUACCUAGCCGAAGCUAAGAGACAUCAGAAGAAUCAGAACAGUCAUGACCCAUAGUAUCUCAUACGCGCUGAUGAUUAUGUGAAACACAACAACAAGCAUGAACUGAUUUUCCCAAAAGUUAUCAGAGACUUCGGUGGUUGUUGGAUACAUAAACAUGCCCAGGGUGAAGUCUCAGACGCCGAUAUGUUGAAGAUAUUGAAGAAGAUUGGGAAGAACAUGAGGUAUUUGUGCACAGAAGCACAGGCAAAACGACCUCAUGGCAAUCUUCGUAAAGGUGUAGGGGUAACACCCGAGCUUGAAGUUUUAUUCAAUAAUUUGGGUCCUUCUAAACACGAAAAGUUGUACGAGGAAGACAUUAAGGACUUGCAUGAAUUUCUUAACACAAUCAUACCUAAGUUGCAGGAUAAGUCGAUACAAGAACCAGUUAAGAGGUGGAAGAAGUUUUUGUCUGAUACUUGUAUACAUGUUGAGAAAGAUUUUACUGUAGUAGAAGCAUCAGAGAUACAUCCUCCCUAUCUUAAACUCAAUCAUGUUAGAAUGAUUGUCAAUUAUCCAACCUCCUGGGACGUUGACGAAGAACUCGAAUUCUUGGCAAAGGUGCAUAGCUUAUGCAAGCGUGCCAAUUUGUUGAUAAAUAAAGAUUUUGAAAAUCAUCUCGUGAAUUGUUAUCCUAAGUGGAACGACUGCUUUGAAGCCUCGGCUACGGCCGGAAAAACUAGUGGCUUAAAUGAAGUCUACCAAUUUGGUGUUGGUCAAGGAAAUUACGUCGACAGCUCUACUGGGGAUCUAUGUGUGCCAACCAUUGUUAUUUUUGCUCAUAGUAGUGUCAAGCACUACAUGGAAAGAGCACAAGAUUAUAACAUUUUACAUAAGUGUGAAAAUGUUACAGAUUCUGGUCAUAUGGACCCAUACCUUACACCAGGUGAAAUCCUUGCCGAUGUACAGAAUGAAUUUCCCAAUUUGAUCGAGAAUAUUUAUCAAUCCUAUUACAAAGCCGUAGCGAAAGGCUACAAACAUCCCCGCUUCGGUAUUGAGAAAAUAUUACCGCAAGUAGAUAAAAGUAACUAGAUUUUGUAUUUUUAUCAUAUGUUGGUACGAUCUUUGUUAUUUUUGAUAGUUUAAACUUAAUGAGAUUACUCAAAUUUCUCUAUUUUCAAUGUUUUAUGUAUUAAUGAACAACCAUGAUGUUAAUUUGUUUACAAGCCAUGUACCUAGCUAAUUUCAGAUUAAUUGCCAAUGAUCCUGAAGUUAUUCCUAUCUUAUUGCAUGGACUUAGGUAUUGGUUUUUUGCUGGAGAAUCAGGAAAGGGAUUAACAGUCUUCCUUCAUUAAAGAAAGAACCAAGGAGCUAGCAUUGAAAACAUUCAACACAUUAUCAGAGCUAAAAACUGAUGAAGUAAGGCAAUAAUAUAUAUCAAAGAGAGAAAAAUUUACAAACCUGUAAAGACAUUAUGGGAUAACAUGAGGGUGAAAUUCCUUGACAACAUCUUUGUUCAUGAGAACAGUAUGGGAGAUAGGCUUUUAGAAUGAAAGAUGGUAUAACACUGAUGAUGGAAGAUGGUGUAAUUUCAAACGUCAGAUCUAUCUCUAUCAGGCUAAUAAAUUAAAGUUGUGAUUCAUGAGAAGGUCGAAAAGGAGGGGGAGGAAAGCCGAGAGCCAAGGUUUACUCUUUUUCAGAAUCCAAACCUCUAAUUAGGCUUCUUCUUGUGAUUUAUUUCUGCAUGCUUCAGGCGGGAUAGGAUACAACUAGCUAGCAAAGAUCAAAUUUCGGCAUUGUGAUUGUGAAUCAUUGUGGAGAAUUGUUUUUUCGUCACAUGUCUAGUUCAAGUUAAAGUGACAUAUCUAGUUAACUAGAGGAGUUUGAGCAAGGGGACAUGUAGCUCUUCACUGCUCGUUGCUGUACAGUUCAGUUUCAAUUAGAUGUUUGGACACUACUGAAAAGGACUCCAUUGUUGAUACUGAAUCAGUUGGGGCAGUGUGUCUCUCUCCUAGACAGCUUUUCUAGUUGAAACAGCGUUAGAUACUGUUCAUAAAAUGCUUUUAAGAUAAGUGGCAUCUCCGUUGAAUAGUACAGCUCAUAUUUUUUGGUCUAAUUUGCUUUUAUUUUGAGAUAGUUUUACAAAUUUACACAAUCAGUAGAUAACUGUAACUACUUUCAAGUUUACAAUCAUUUUAUAGUUGUUUGUAGAUGUUCUAACUUCCCUCUUCAGCCAGCUCUCUGAACAUUGUGUAUCUGCGUUUAAGUUUAUAUGUAGCAAUUUUGUGUAAAUAAGUGGAAGACGUUUAGAUGACUUAAGGGAACUUAUUGCAAAAAAAUUCUCUUAUGUCAAAUAAAAAGUUGAUGAUGAACAUAAAGGGACGAAAAACUUGGUGUCACUUGCAAUAUAUUAACUUUAGAGUUCAAUGUGCAAUUGUCAUCCCUAGUUUUUGUAUAUUAGUUUUAUGUUCAGAAUUUGAGUUGUUUGCUGUCGUAACUCACACAGGCAAGCUGGAUGCUGGCCACUAUGUGACCUACUUGCGAUUAAGUAAUAACUGGUACAAGUGUGAUGAUGCUUGGAUCACACAAGUUAACGAGGACAUUGUGAGGGCUGCACAAGGCUACAUGAUAUUUUAUGUACAGAAAAUGCUAUUUUACAAAGCGAGUGAAAAACAGGGGUCUGCAUAAUAUGCUGAGCAGGAAAGAGUGUGUUGAUUAGAAAACGAAUAGCUUCCUGCCAGUUCUGCUAAGCUUAAACAGUAUGUCAUCGAGUUGCUAUUCUCGGCAGCUCGUUGCGCCCUGAGGAUACCUUUGAGGCUUUAGAGUGGUGAGUAAUUUAUGAUUCUCAGAUGGAGCAAAGUGAGCCUGAAUUUUUGGGGCAGUCUUGCAUUUGGGAAAUAAUCAAGUUCAAUAUUGUAUUGGUUCCAU